rnacentral:rRNA from 1 species
GGGAUGAGCUGUGGAUAGGGGUGAAAGGCUAAACAAAUCCGGAAAUAGCUGGUUCUCCCCGAAAACUAUUUAGGUAGUGCGUCACAUAUCACUUCCGGGGGUAAAGCACUGUUAUGGCUAGGGGGUCAUCGCGACUUACCAAAACCAAUGGCAAACUCUGAAUACCGGAAAGUGCGAGUGUGGCAGACAGACAGUGGGUGCUAACGUCCAUUGUCAAGAGGGAAACAACCCAGACCGCCAGCUAAGGUCCCCAAGACACAGUUAAGUGGGAAACGAAGUGGGAAGGCAUAGACAGCUAGGAGGUUGGCUUAGAAGCAGCCACCCUUUAAAGAAAGCGUAAUAGCUCACUAGUCGAGUCGUCCUGCGCGGAAGAUGUAACGGGGCUCAAACUGUGCACCGAAGCUGCGG